rnacentral:misc_RNA from 1 species
AAGUCGUAACAAGGUUUCCGUAGGUGAACCUGCGGAAGGAUCAUUAACACGUGAAAACGUAUUAACCAAUCUACCUUAUACAACCCGUGAAUUUCACCCCUCCCUAUUCAACUGAUAUUGUUCCAUAUGAUAUGUAGUAGGAUAUGACUUCGGUCGUAUGCAAUUGUAUGGAUACUAGGGUUUCGAACCCAAGGUAUCUUUUGGUAGGCUUUUAUUUUUUUCCCCUACUACAAAAAAACUAAACAAACCUAUUUCACCUUUUAAACCCUAUUUUGACUGAUGUACGUUGAUAGUAAGAAAUUACUGGAUCAACACCAUUUAUUCAACUAAGCACAACUCUUAGCAAUGGAUAUCUUGGUUCUC